rnacentral:tRNA from 1 species
UCCCUGGUGGUCCAGUGGCUGAGACUCCGCGUUCCCAAUGCAGGGGGCCCGGGUUCAAUCCCUGGUCAGGGAA